AUUGAACGCUAGCGGAAUGCCUUACACAUGCAAGUCGAACGGCAGCACGGACUUCGGUCUGGUGGCGAGUGGCGAACGGGUGAGUAAUGUAUCGGAACGUACCCAGUAGCGGGGGAUAACUACUCGAAAGAGUAGCUAAUACCGCAUACGCCCUUCGGGGGAAAGGGGGGGAUCUUCGGACCUCCCACUAUUGGAGCGGCUGAUAUCGGAUUAGCUAGUUGGUGAGGUAAAGGCUCACCAAGGCGACGAUCCGUAGCUGGUUUGAGAGGACGACCAGCCACACUGGAACUGAGACACGGUCCAGACUCCUACGGGAGGCAGCAGUGGGGAAUUUUGGACAAUGGGGGAAACCCUGAUCCAGCCAUUCCGCGUGUGUGAAGAAGGCCUUCGGGUUGUAAAGCACUUUUGGCGGGAAAGAAACGGCGUCGACUAAUACUCGGCGUAACUGACGGUACCCGCAGAAUAAGCACCGGCUAACUACGUG
rnacentral:rRNA from 1 species